rnacentral:rRNA from 1 species
GUGCACCAGGCGAGAAAACUUCACACUGUGCGAAAGCACGAUGAGGGAAUCCCAAGUGCUUGCACGUAAGUGUAAGCUGUUUCUCUGUCUAAAACGCAGAGAGAGUAAGGGCUGGGUAAGACGGGUGCCAGCCGCCGCGGUAAUACCUGCAGCUCAAGUGGUGACCGUUAUUAUUGGGCCUAAAACGUCCGUAGCCGGUUUAAUAAAUGCCUGGGUAAAUUGUGUAGCUUAACUAUACGAAUUCCGGGUAGACUGUUAAACUUGAGACCGGGAGAAGUUAGAGGUACUCCUGGGGUAGAGGUGAAAUUCUGUAAUCCUAGGGGGACCACCAGUGGCGAAGGCGUCUAACUAGAACGGGUCUGACGGUGAGGGGACGAAGCCCUGGGGCGCAAACGGGAUUAGAUACCCG